ensembl:snRNA U4 U4 spliceosomal RNA
AGCUCUGCAGUGGCAGUAUCAUAGCCAAUGAGGUCUAUCCAAGGCACAGUCAUUGCUGAGAACUAUUCCCAAUACCUCGCCAUGAUGACUUGAAAUAUGGUCUUCAAUGGCAAUUUCUUUCUUUCUUUCUUUUUUUUUUUUCUUUUGAGA